rnacentral:lncRNA from 1 species
ACGAGGAAAGCCAAGCAGUGGCGUCGGCGAGGCACCUCCGGAACGUGUCCAUGCUCUCCGGCGGCAGAGCUAUGCCCACCUCGAUGCCGCCGGCGCCGGACCGGUCCUCCGCCGCCGACACCGCGCCGGUCUUCGCCACGGACACGAUCUCCACCUUCGCCGGCCUCCCGAACCCGAAGUCGACGUCGUACACGCGGAACCUCGUCGACCCGGCCACCGAGAACGGCGCGUCGUCCCUGCACGCCUCCAUGACGCGCUCCGUCCACCCUUCCCAGUACGCGGGCUCGCCGCGCACCGCCUCGUCAAUGGCGACGGCCACCGCGGCGCAGGCCGUGAAGACGCCGCCCGCGGCGUCGGCGAGCUCCUCAUGGGUGCGGCGAACUCGUCAUGCCUGUCCGCUCCGGGAGCUUCCGGUCGCCGGCGCAGGCUGCGGCCCAGGCGGAGUGGUGGACGAUGACGCCGAGAGCGAGGCCGCGGCGCUUGGGCGGCAGCACGGUCACCUGCAGCGCGAGCACCGCGCCGCCCUCGGGAAGCUCCGGGACGAGCGGCGCGAUCUUGGCGAGCUCCCUCGGCUCGUCCGUGGCGAGCUCGUCGACGCCGACGCCGUCGUGCUCGGCGACGGUGAACGCCACGCCGUCGCCGAGCUGGUAGAGGAGCUCGUACCGGUUGGUCUCGCUGGGCGUGGGGCGGAUGCGGCUGGCGAGCGGGUAGAAGGCGUGGAUAGCCCGGGGCAGCGACUCCUCCAUCCGGGACAGCACGGCGUCGACACCACCGUCGUCGUCGUCGUCGCCGGGGCCGAGUCGGUAGAAGAAGACGCGCUCGACGGGCUGGGCGCGGAGCCACAUCGCGUCCAUGAACAUGAGAGGCAGGGCUCGCUCGGGCAGCGCGGGCUCGCCGGCGGGCGGCGCCGGCGCGACGCGCGUCGUGCGGAGGACGCGGAGGCCAGCGGCGUGAGCGGCCGGUUGCGACGCCAUUGUCUCGCCGCAGAACAGGUGUGGUUUGUGUUGCUCGUGGUUAGCUGCAGAGCGAUGGAGCUUUGCUUCUACUCCUAUAAUACUUGCAUCUCCGCGAGUGACUUCACUUCACUGGUCCAUACCCGAAUUACGCCCCUAAGUUAUUAUGUGAUUACGAAUUACCCCUUGAACUCAAAAAUAAGAUAUCUUUCACCUUCAACUAUCAAUACAGGAUGAAAACUCCCUU